GACAAUCAUUAGUCAAGCUGCUCUCUGAUCCAAACUACAGACUCGACAAACUCAAUGUUGAUAAUGGAGGAGAGAUCAGGAUUACAACAGGACUGCAGAAAUAUGCAUGUGAUCUCACACUGGAUUUAGACACAGCAAACACUUUCCUAACUCUGUCUGAGAAGAACAGGAAGGUGACACAUGUGAGAGAAAAGCAGCCAUAUUUUCAUCAUCCAAACAGAUUUGAGUGUCAUCAGGUUCUGUGUGAAGAGAGUCUGUCUGGACGCUGUUAUUGGGAGGCUGAAUGGAGCGGGAAGGAGGUUUAUGUAUCAGUGGCAUAUAAAGGCAUCAGAAAGGAAGGAUGGAGUAAUGACUGUUUGUUUGGACACAAUGAAAAGUCCUGGAGUCUGAAAUGUUUUAAUGAUGGUUUCACUGCCCGUCA